rnacentral:tRNA from 1 species
GUUCUAGUAGUUUAAUUUAAAACAUUGGUCUUGUAAAUCAAUAAUAAGAAAUACUCUUCUAAAACU